rnacentral:rRNA from 1 species
GGGUUGUGAGGUUAAGCGACUAAGCGUACACGGUGGAUGCCCUGGCAGUCAGAGGCGAUGAAGGACGUGCUAAUCUGCGAUAAGCGUCGGUAAGGUGAUAUGAACCGUUAUAACCGGCGAUUUCCGAAUGGGGAAACCCAGUGUGUUUCGACACACUAUCAUUAACUGAAUCCAUAGGUUAAUGAGGCGAACCGGGGGAACUGAAACAUCUAAGUACCCCGAGGAAAAGAAAUCAACCGAGAUUCCCCCAGUAGCGGCGAGCGAACGGGGAGGAGCCCAGAGCCUGAAUCAGUGUGUGUGUUAGUGGAAGCGUCUGGAAAGGCGCGCGAUACAGGGUGACAGCCCCGUACACAAAAAUGCACAUGCUGUGAGCUCGAUGAGUAGGGCGGGACACGUGGUAUCCUGUCUGAAUAUGGGGGGACCAUCCUCCAAGGCUAAAUACUCCUGACUGACCGAUAGUGAACCAGUACCGUGAGGGAAAGGCGAAAAGAACCCCGGCGAGGGGAGUGAAAAAGAACCUGAAACCGUGUACGUACAAGCAGUGGGAGCACAGAGCAAUCUGUGUGACUGCGUACCUUUUGUAUAAUGGGUCAGCGACUUAUAUUCUGUAGCAAGGUUAACCGAAUAGGGGAGCCGAAGGGAAACCGAGUCUUAACUGGGCGUUAAGUUGCAGGGUAUAGACCCGAAACCCGGUGAUCUAGCCAUGGGCAGGUUGAAGGUUGGGUAACACUAACUGGAGGACCGAACCGACUAAUGUUGAAAAAUUAGCGGAUGACUUGUGGCUGGGGGUGAAAGGCCAAUCAAACCGGGAGAUAGCUGGUUCUCCCCGAAAGCUAUUUAGGUAGCGCCUCGUGAAUUCAUCUCCGGGGGUAGAGCACUGUUUCGGCAAGGGGGUCAUCCCGACUUACCAACCCGAUGCAAACUGCGAAUACCGGAGAAUGUUAUCACGGGAGACACACGGCGGGUGCUAACGUCCGUCGUGAAGAGGGAAACAACCCAGACCGCCAGCUAAGGUCCCAAAGUCAUGGUUAAGUGGGAAACGAUGUGGGAAGGCCCAGACAGCCAGGAUGUUGGCUUAGAAGCAGCCAUCAUUUAAAGAAAGCGUAAUAGCUCACUGGUCGAGUCGGCCUGCGCGGAAGAUGUAACGGGGCUAAACCAUGCACCGAAGCUGCGGCAGCGACGCUGAUGCGUUGUUGGGUAGGGGAGCGUUCUGUAAGCCUGUGAAGGUGUGCUGUGAGGCAUGCUGGAGGUAUCAGAAGUGCGAAUGCUGACAUAAGUAACGAUAAAGCGGGUGAAAAGCCCGCUCGCCGGAAGACCAAGGGUUCCUGUCCAACGUUAAUCGGGGCAGGGUGAGUCGACCCCUAAGGCGAGGCCGAAAGGCGUAGUCGAUGGGAAACAGGUUAAUAUUCCUGUACUUGGUGUUACUGCGAAGGGGGGACGGAGAAGGCUAUGUUGGCCGGGCGACGGUUGUCCCGGUUUAAGCGUGUAGGCUGGUUUUCCAGGCAAAUCCGGAAAACUAAGGCUGAGGCGUGAUGACGAGGCACUACGGUGCUGAAGCAACAAAUGCCCUGCUUUCAGGAAAAGCCUCUAAGCAUCAGGUAACAUCAAAUCGUACCCCAAACCGACACAGGUGGUCAGGUAGAGAAUACCAAGGCGCUUGAGAGAACUCGGGUGAAGGAACUAGGCAAAAUGGUGCCGUAACUUCGGGAGAAGGCACGCUGAUAUGUAGGUGAAGUCCCUCGCGGAUGGAGCUGAAAUCAGUCGAAGAUACCAGCUGGCUGCAACUGUUUAUUAAAAACACAGCACUGUGCAAACACGAAAGUGGACGUAUACGGUGUGACGCCUGCCCGGUGCCGGAAGGUUAAUUGAUGGGGUCAGCGCAAGCGAAGCUCUUGAUCGAAGCCCCGGUAAACGGCGGCCGUAACUAUAACGGUCCUAAGGUAGCGAAAUUCCUUGUCGGGUAAGUUCCGACCUGCACGAAUGGCGUAAUGAUGGCCAGGCUGUCUCCACCCGAGACUCAGUGAAAUUGAACUCGCUGUGAAGAUGCAGUGUACCCGCGGCAAGACGGAAAGACCCCGUGAACCUUUACUAUAGCUUGACACUGAACAUUGAGCCUUGAUGUGUAGGAUAGGUGGGAGGCUUUGAAGUGUGGACGCCAGUCUGCAUGGAGCCGACCUUGAAAUACCACCCUUUAAUGUUUGAUGUUCUAACGUUGACCCGUAAUCCGGGUUGCGGACAGUGUCUGGUGGGUAGUUUGACUGGGGCGGUCUCCUCCUAAAGAGUAACGGAGGAGCACGAAGGUUGGCUAAUCCUGGUCGGACAUCAGGAGGUUAGUGCAAUGGCAUAAGCCAGCUUGACUGCGAGCGUGACGGCGCGAGCAGGUGCGAAAGCAGGUCAUAGUGAUCCGGUGGUUCUGAAUGGAAGGGCCAUCGCUCAACGGAUAAAAGGUACUCCGGGGAUAACAGGCUGAUACCGCCCAAGAGUUCAUAUCGACGGCGGUGUUUGGCACCUCGAUGUCGGCUCAUCACAUCCUGGGGCUGAAGUAGGUCCCAAGGGUAUGGCUGUUCGCCAUUUAAAGUGGUACGCGAGCUGGGUUUAGAACGUCGUGAGACAGUUCGGUCCCUAUCUGCCGUGGGCGCUGGAGAACUGAGGGGGGCUGCUCCUAGUACGAGAGGACCGGAGUGGACGCAUCACUGGUGUUCGGGUUGUCAUGCCAAUGGCACUGCCCGGUAGCUAAAUGCGGAAGAGAUAAGUGCUGAAAGCAUCUAAGCACGAAACUUGCCCCGAGAUGAGUUCUCCCUGACUCCUUGAGAGUCCUGAAGGAACGUUGAAGACGACGACGUUGAUAGGCCGGAUGUGUAAGCGCAGCGAUGCGUUGAGCUAACCGGUACUAAUGAACCGUGAGGCUUAACCUUACAACGCCGAAGGUGUUU